CAUCACAGUGAAUUUACACAAAGGAGAUUGAUGAGUGUAGAGGUAAAUGAGUAUUCCAUUCGCAAUCUCUACUCUGUGGUUGAAGAAAGAUGAGGCACGGGCGCACGGUCGGUUUUCCUACAAACAAGAGGUCAAAGCACUUUAUAUCCCAAUUUACAAAUGAAAAAUCUUUCAAAGAUAGAAUAUUUGUGAUGAAAACAAUGUUAUACACAAAAUGAGCAAGUUAAACUCAGGUUGCUUCAUGGAAGAUCAUUAUGUUACAUGGGGAAUCCAAAAUAUCCAAUGGUAACGCACGAGCAAUAAGGUAACCACCGAUCAAUCUCAGAAAAAAGAAACUAGGAGAAAUAACUCAAAAGAAAAUUGGUCCGUGCAAAAUCAGCUUGGGAAACCUGAUGAAUAAUGUUCUAGCAAAUUGGGGCAGUGCUCAACAGCCUCAGGCCGUGGGGUAUGGUGCACAGCAUAGAACAACCAGAAAGCCGCUUUUCCAACUAAUCUGAUCUGGUAAAGUCUCUAUUUUGCUGCAGUUAUUUUUUUUUAGGAAAAACAUCAGAAGAGGACAGGGAGAGCCUGUUUUCAUUAAAGAAGAAGAGACUUGGCCCCGUUUUUAAGGGGAAACCGGGCCCAAAAACCUCACAUAAGCACGGUUUGAGGGGGAAACAAAGAAAAAAAACUUGCGACGGCACCACUGGAGGAAAACAUAGGUCAUCGUUGCCAAAAGCAGCUUCAACUUCCUAUGAACAAACCACAGACAACGUAGAGCAGGGUCUUCAAGACGAAGCCUCCAAGGAGGAAACAUAGCGUCAAAACGCAAGCAACGUCCGUCCGAAAAUCGGAACAGGGUUUUCACCCGAAGAAACGGGUAGAGCAAAGAACGAUGCCUUCAAGAAGGAAAACGGCGCCCACAGGCAUCACCAUCGUUGUCUCUACCCCACGAGCGAGCAGGACAAGCGCCCCGACUCACUCACCCUGCCAACUACGACACCCCCGGCAACCACAGCGCUACCAAGGAAAGCGGGAGAGGGUUAUCGUUGCCAAUUGUCAGACUUUUAAUAGAGGAAAGCUAUCAAUUAUCAAUUGUCAGUUAUCAGAUGCCUGAACGGCAUCAGCAAAGAUGGAGUCCCAUGGACAGCCACAUUGAUCGAGCCCAGCACGCGGCGUCGAGCGCUUCGCUGCAAGAACUUGAGGUACAUCAGCUUCAGACGAAUCUCUAGACUCUAGGAUCAAGUCCUUGGUCCUGCCAGAUUCAAUCAGCAUGCAGCAAGCUGCGUGAGCUCAUCUUGCUGGAAGCUACACCUCCUGUGCUUCCCACUGACUAGCAAAGGCUGUUUCUGAAGAAUAGUUUUCAUUGAGCAGCUUCUUGAUGAAAGAUGAGUGUAUUUUAAACAAGCUAAGCUGCUAAAGAUUAUGAACAUGGAACGAGGCCGACAUUGCACAUUCUUGCUAUGUA